rnacentral:misc_RNA from 1 species
AAGUCGUAACAAGGUCUCCGUUGGUGAACCAGCGGAGGGAUCAUUACAGAGUACCAACUCGCAACCCUUUGUGAACCUUACACCGUUGCUUCGGCGGCUCGCCCCCCGGGGCGUGCCCGCCGGCAUUACCAGUCUCUCGUUUCGUACCCGACGAUACGUCUGAGUGUUCUAAGCGAACUGUUAAAACUUUCAACAACGGAUCUCUUGGCUCUA